UACGUAGGGUGCAAGCGUUGUCCGGAAUUAUUGGGCGUAAAGAGCUCGUAGGCGGUUUGUCGCGUCUGCUGUGAAAACUCGGGGCUCAACUCCGAGCUUGCAGUGGGUACGGGCAGACUAGAGUGCGGUAGGGGAGACUGGAAUUCCUGGUGUAGCGGUGGAAUGCGCAGAUAUCGGGAGGAACACCAGUGGCGAAGGCGAGUCUCUGGGAUGAUGCUGACGCUGAGGCGCGAAAGCCAGGGGAGCAAACGGG
rnacentral:rRNA from 1 species